UGCGAAGCUUCUCGUACCAUUAAACUAACAGUGUCGGAAUAAUCAACAACAUCGAUGGAUCGUUCUCCAUCAUGGGGUAAACUUUUAUUCGAGGAAAUCGAGCUACUGUUCUCCUCGCUGCAGUCGUGUUUAAACACGCUAUCGGAUUGCGAAUGAGUUGGAGUAGAUAAUUCGGAAACUAACGGCGUGGACUCAUCCUCGCUCUCUCCUGGAGCAGGCGAGACAGGUCGAAGUCGAACAUCGUUUCUUCAUAGGUGUAGAGAUAGCCGAUUUCAUGGGUAUAUUAUUAGCUACAUAGUUUUCAUCUGUUGACUUGGAUCUGAAGGCAGGUCUGGGAGAAGGCGGAGGAGACACAAAAAGCGACGCUGGUCUACUACUGAUAGAAUUGCCUCCACUCUUUCUUAGCUCUUUACGUCCGAACGAACAAGCCGAUCUGGUACUAAGUUGAGAUGUAAUACUACGUUGAGAGUUCGUACGUUGAAGAUGUACUGUUGACUCGAACGAGCUGUCGUCUGACGUCUCUGGUUCAUCGUUGACUGGUACCCAGUGUAGAAGUGGAUUAGAUUGAAGAAUCACGUAAUCUGUAUCUUGAGGGGCCAUCGAAAUGGAUCCUAAAACAAAUCUUCAUAUUAUCCAGUUUUUCUUUUUUGACCGCACGAGAUGCAUUAAAUGUACACCUAUCUGUUCAUAAUACUGCUACGAUUUCAUCUACGCAUGAAUAUGGGUGGUAAGAAACAUUUAAACAACAGUUAUAUUGACCAAAUUUUCCGGCGGAACUGAAACAUUGCGGAUGAUAAGUUUUGUAUAACCAUCUUCGAAUGCAAUGAGGUCAUAUCGAUGCUGUACACACAUGAUACAUGAUCGAGUUACACAGCUAUAUCUGAUUUAAAUUCAUUAAAAAUUUGUACUGUAUUCUAGUACGGUGUCACACUUUUGGUCUGGUUGCGGUGGUUCUUGAACUAUAACCAGAGGCAGUGAAAGUGGUAGGGGAGAGGGCUCACCUGCGAGUGAGUCUGAUGGUACCACUGCAGAAGAUGGUACAUCUAAUACAUCUUCACACGCUUCUUCAUUUAAAGUUUGUAAUGCACCACAUAUCAUCUGUUCUUCUAAAGUUACCUGAAAAAUUUAAUUACUUUUUUCGCUAUUUGAUGUUUUAGUAUUAAACUUAUAAUAUUUAUUCAUGUGUUUUAUAAAGGAAUUAAUAUGAAAUGUAAAAUACAAUUUCGCUUACC
rnacentral:lncRNA from 1 species